AUUUUCAUUUCUGACCAAAAAGAAAAGAAAAAAAUGGUGACCCAUCUCCCAAAAUCACAAAUCCCCAAAUUCUCCGUCAAAAAGUUACCUUCUCUUCCCCACACUCUCCUAUUCUCUUCUCCUCUUCUCACAGACCUCCCCCAUGGCUCACCCCACCACCCAGCUGCGCCUCUUAGCCCCUCCUGAUCCUGAUCCUGGUUCUGAUUAUCCUCCCCAUAAACCCCCCUCCACAGCUCCUUCCAUGGCCGCUGCUUCUGCUCCUAACUCCUCUCCCUUGUCCAACCACAUCCCAUUUUCCAGACUCCACAGUCACGCCGCUCUUUCAUCUCAAAGGCCAAACAAUCCAAACCCACCUCCUGCUAUUCUAGACUCUCACUUACAGGCCAAACCCUUGACUGUUUCUGCCAUGCUUGACUCCUCCAAGUUUCAUCUCGUCAAAUCCAAAUCCCACCCCAGAAAAAUUGCUUCAGUUGGUACUGAGAAAUUGAAUAAGCUUUGUAAAGAGCUGGGUACGCAGAAGUUUUUUGGUGAGAAGAAGGAAGCUGAUGAAGGGGUUGAUGGUAGCAGCGGUCUCAGCCUUGUGGUGAAGGACAAGGAAUUGAAAGAAUUUCAAAAGGGGCAUCAUCUUCAUCUCGGAAACUUGAGACCAACAGUUUCAUUGCUUAGGAGGGGUGGGAGAAGAAGGUCCUUUGGUGGUUCCCAAGUUGAAUUGGCUGAUAUUUUUGCCAAUAAUGGAGUGAGAGUGGUUUCUGUUGAUAUGCCACCAGUUAUGCAGAUCCAUGCCGUGGAUUCUGCAAGAAAGGCUCAUGAUAGUAUGGAGAAGUUCACUUCCAAGACUCUUGCCUUAUCUCUCAAGCGGGAAUUUGAUGGGGUGUAUGGCCCGGCCUGGCACUGCAUCGUGGGGACAAGUUUUGGGUCUUUUGUUACCCAUUCAGUCGGUGGUUUCUUAUAUUUCUCAAUGGAUCAAAAGCUGUAUAUUCUAUUGUUCAAAACUUCCGUACAAAGAGCUGAUUGAAGUAGAUGUCCAAAACACAGCUGGGAAAUCCAAUAAAUUUGGCAUAUUCAGCUUAACAAAGGAGAAGGAAAAUGAAAAAAGGCCUUCUACACGCAUCAAUCAUCACUGACAGCCGAAUUGUCAGCUCUGCACCUUUGUUAGCUCUGCACCUGUGGAUUCGAGAUCAAUAAUUCAUUGGAAACUGAAUUUGUUAGUCUAGAAGCAUUACAGAAAGCAACUGAAGAGAAGAUGGAAAGAAAGUCUCUUAACGCUAUGGAAGAAGUUAGCAGCUGCGGAGCUCCAUGAAGCCUUAUAUCUAUAUUCAGCAUGUCAUACAACUUUAUGUACAUCCUAGGAAGAAAAGAAACUGCAAGGAAAAGGAACACCCACCAAAAAAAAAAAAA